UUCAUGACUGAGUUGGGCUUUGCCUGGGCAAAAUAAGGAAGAAUGGCUUAUGGCAACUCACCACAGAGACACAUUUUGCACACCACAUUAAGCCAAACCACGGUGAGAAUUUGUUUAUUUAAUUAUUUAAUUCACAUAUUGCCAUUCUUCUGACGAUCACAGGACGGUUCAUAACACAAAAAUACAAACGAGAACACAAAAUACCUAAUACAGUGGUACCCCGGGUUAAGUACUUAAUUUGUUCCGGAGCUCCAUUCUUAACCUGAAACUGUUCUUAACCUGAAGCACCACUUUAGCUAAUGGGGCCUCCCGCGCUGCCGGAGCACAAUUUCUGUUCUCAUCCUGAAGCAAAGUUCUUAACCCGAGGUAAUAUUUCUGGGUUAGCGGAGUCUGUAACCUGAAGCGUAUGUAACCCAAGGUACCACUGUAAUACAAGCUUAACUGCAAGCCGUGGUUGAGAUGGUGCUCAAGUCUAAACCAAGUCUUGGCUUAUCUUAGCAUUUACAGUAACAAAAAGGAUUGAGGAGAAACAACGCGACUGCGAGCAUUUGUGAACUUGCACUAAACUAAGGUUUGGCUUAGGUUGACACAAUAAACACCAUUCAAAAAUCCAGUAUAUAAAAUACACAACCUUUCAGCAUAAUAAUAAAAGGAAGGGCUUGAUCUAACUGACUUCCUCCAAAAGAAGUCCAGGGCAGCUUGUAUUUCAGGCUUGCUUAACAUCAAAAAGCUUUUAACUGUAGAAACUGAAGGUUCUGCUUUGGCAUGUUUUCAGCUGCUUCAAGGUACUUAAGUUCGCUAAGUGGCUGCUGUGGACAGAGGAGAAACAUGGGUUAAUGCUAUUUGUCUUGGAGUUAAAUAAUUCAGAUACUGAUGUGCUCUGGAUGGAUUAGUUGCUGGUGGGGUUUCUCAAAGGCUGCAUUUGCCAUGCAUUGUAGACUCCUUAGUUCCAGCUAGAUGUCCUCCUAAUUAGCUGCUUUGCAGAAAAGACUCUUUGUUGUGCGCUGGGUCACUGGCGCUUCCAUGUAGCUCAUUAAGGGACAUUUGUCAUUCCUGUGCUAAGCCUGACACAGUGCACCUGCUUGCUAGACAGGAAGCAGGUUGCGGCAGCUUAAGGAGCUUACAACUGGUUAUUUGGUGGUGGUGUCUGGUUCUUGGGUUUUUCUUAUUUGCAGAAGCCACAGCAAUAGUCUUGUUUCAAGUAACGGUGCUGCCAGCAUUGAAAAUGGCCACAAGAUGUCCCCAUAGGAAAAACAAUGGCUGGUUUUGAAUCUAACGCGUCCUAUAACCAUGUGCAAAUAAUAAAAACCUUUAAAUAGG